AGAGAGUCUAAUCCCAUGUGGUUGGACUAAAAAGCACAAUCUGAGUUGACUGAAAGAACUAAAGAACUGUCUGGACAAUGAAUGUCCUUAAAUCACAGAAAAGGGAUCACAAAUUCAAAGUCACUCUAUUUCAUCUCAACAACAUCUUCUGCUAUAUUUUUCACAUACUAAGAUUAAAUUCCUGCCGGAGAUUAAGGGCAUAGAGUUAAGCAUUUAGAAUACAAUGAAAAAUUCAAAUUCUAAACAGUGAAGCCUAAGAGUGUUCAUUUAUUCUAUACAAUUCAUCGUUCCCCCCGCUGGGCUACGCAAGGGGGUUUAAUUCUCUCUCUCCCUAAAACCUACCCCAAAUCAACUAAAACAACAACCCCACUUAUGAAGAUUCGAUGUACUCAAGCAUUUAACUUGAGACACCAGAAAUUGCAAAAUGUUAAUUGAGUAAUUGACCAAAACCUUUAUUUGGAUUGAGAGAAAUGGAGAGA
rnacentral:misc_RNA from 1 species